GACGAACGCUGGCGGUGUGCUUAACACAUGCAAGUCGAACGGAAAGGCCCUGCUUUUGUGGGGUGCUCGAGUGGCGAACGGGUGAGUAACACGUGAGUAACCUGCCCUUGACUUUGGGAUAACUUCAGGAAACUGGGGCUAAUACCGGAUAGGAGCUCCUGCUGCAUGGUGGGGGUUGGAAAGUUUCGGCGGUUGGGGAUGGACUCGCGGCUUAUCAGCUUGUUGGUGGGGUAGUGGCUUACCAAGGCUUUGGCGGGUAGCCGGCCUGAGAGGGUGACCGGCCACAUUGGGACUGAGAUACGGCCCAGACUCCUACGGGAGGCAGCAGUGGGGAAUAUUGCACAAUGGGCGGAAGCCUGAUGCAGCAACGCCGCGUGCGGGAUGACGGCCUUCGGGUUGUAAACCGCUUUCGCCUGUGACGAAGCGUGAGUGACGGUAAUGGGUAAAGAAGCACCGGCUAACUACGUG
rnacentral:rRNA from 1 species